rnacentral:rRNA from 1 species
AAGUCGUAACAAGGUUUCCGUAGGUGAACCUGCGGAAGGAUCAUUACUGAGUUGUUGAAGCAGGCUGCUGCUGGCUCCUUUCGGGAGCAUGUGCACGCUUGUUCACAUCCCAUCCUUCACACUUGUGCACCAUCUGUAGUUCCGAGCUGAUUAUCAGAGGCGCUCGCUCGCCUCAAAAGCUCGGUUCUAUGUUAUUUCAAUGACUUAGUUCAAUAGAAUGUGUUCACAGGCGUGUACAACGUCUGAUAAUAAUAUAUAUAUAACUUUCAGCAACGGAUCUCUUGGCUCUCGCAUCGAUGAAGAACGCAGCGAAAUGCGAUAAGUAAUGUGAAUUGCAGAAUUCAGUGAAUCAUCGAAUCUUUGAACGCACCUUGCACCCUUUGGCAUUCCAAAGGGUAUGCCUGUUUGAGUAUCAUGAAAUUCUCAACUCCCCUCGGAUUCCAUCUGUAGGGUGAGCUUGGGCUUGGAGGUUUCUGCUGGCGUUCGCCGGCUCCUCUUGAAAUCAUUAGCUUUGAGUUGAUCUCGAUGGCUCGACCGGUGUGAUAAACAUCUACGCCGAUUUGUGCCGUCCUGAGCGACGAACGUUGGAGACGCUCUGGCUUAUAACUGUCUUCACCAGAGGACGACGCCCUGAACUUUUGAUCUCAAAUCAGGUAGGACUACCCGCUGAACUUAAGCAUAUCAAUAAGCGGAGGAAAAGAAACUAACAAGGAUUCCCUAGUAACUGCGAGUGAAGCGGGAAGAGCUCAAAUUUAAAAUCUGGCGUCCUCCGGUCGUCCGAGUUGUAGUCUGGAGAAGCGUUUUCCGUGUUGGACCGUGUGUAAGUCCCUUGGAACAGGGCGUCAUAGAGGGUGAGAAUCCCGUCUUUGACACGGACUACCAAUGCUUUGUGAUGCGCUCUCAAAGAGUCGAGUUGUUUGGGAAUGCAGCUCAAAAUGGGUGGUAAAUUCCAUCUAAAGCUAAAUAUAGGCGAGAGACCGAUAGCGAACAAGUACCGUGAGGGAAAGAUGAAAAGCACUUUGGAAAGAGAGUUAAACAGUACGUGAAAUUGCUGAAAGGGAAACGCUUGAAGUCAGUCACGUCUGCCGGGACUCAGCCUCGCUUCUGCUUGGUGUACUUUCUGGUUUGAUGGGCCAACAUCAAUUUUGACCGUUGGAGAAAGGCCUCGGGAAUGUGGCACCUUCGGGUGUGUUAUAGCCCUUUGCUGUAUACGACGGUUGGGAUUGAGGACUGCAGCACGCCUUCAUGGCCGGGGUUCGCCCACGUACGUGCUUAGGAUGUUGGCAUAAUGGCUUUAAGCGACC